AAUACUUAGGAAUCUACCUAUUAAUGGGGGACAACAUUUCGAAAGGAAUGCUAAUACCGCAUACGCCCUACGGGGGAAAGCAGGGGAUCUUCGGGCCUUGCGUUAAUAGAUGAGCCUAAGUCGGAUUAGCUAGUUGGUGGGGUAAAGGCCUACCAAGGCGACGAUCUGUAGCGGGUCUGAGAGGAUGAUCCGCCACACUGGGACUGAGACACGGCCCAGACUCCUACGGGAGGCAGCAGUGGGGAAUAUUGGACAAUGGGGGGAACCCUGAUCCAGCCAUGCCGCGUGUGUGAAGAAGGCCUUUUGGUUGUAAAGCACUUUAAGCGAGGAGGAGGCUACUGGUACUAAUACUACCAGCUAGUGGACGUUACUCGCAGAAUAAGCACCGGCUAACUCUGUGCCAGCAGCCGCGGUAAUACAGAGGGUGCGAGCGUUAAUCGGAUUUACUGGGCGUAAAGCGUGCGUAGGUGGCCAAUUAAGUCAAAUGUGAAAUCCCCGAGCUUAACUUGGGAAUUGCAUUCGAUACUGGUUGGCUAGAGUAUGGGAGAGGAUGGUAGAAUUCCAGGUGUAGCGGUGAAAUGCGUAGAGAUCUGGAGG
rnacentral:rRNA from 1 species